AUGUUGAGGAUCCGAAACCUGAUGUUGGAGGACACCGGAAAUUUCACGGUCCAUGUCAAGCAUGAAACGGGUGACGUCAGUGACAAAACAUUCAGGCUAGUUGUCUAUGGGGAAGCUCCAGCCCCACGGAUCCUUCCCAGUAAUUUGUCUAUAUCUCCGAAAGGGUGUAACGUGACCUUGCAAUGUCAAGUAACUGGAACUAAGGGAGUUAACAUCUCCUGGGAAGGAAGACCAUAUUGGGGGCUCAGUCAGCAAUCCAACAAUGGCACAUAUCUCCACUUGUUCCUCUGGGGCAACUAUUCGGACUCCACCAUCAACUGCAGCUCCAGCAAUCCUGCAGAUAAAAAGGUUGCGUCCAUCAAAUUGUUCAACAUCUGCUCAAAUGCAAGCCAAACAUGGAGAUACCACCUUUUAGUCCUUCUGUUAAUCCCUAUUGUGGCUGCAGCAGGUUUGGGCAGUUGGAUGUGGAAGAAGAAAAGCAGGAAAAAGUCAGCAAUUACAGCUUUUAACUUCAAAAAGAACAAGGAGAUCAACACUCCAGAGACACUCUAUGAAAACAUCGGGCAGAAGAGACUUCAUACAGAUGAUCAGACCCAGGUAAGUUUACCUUGCCCAUGUAAUAUAUAGGCAGCCCUAUACUGGUACACAGAAGAAAAGAAAGAGUUGUGAUCGUCAUUUCAUGCAUAAUGAAAUAUUUAGUGCAUACUAUGAUAGCAAUGUUGACAUUACAGCGUAAUAACUUGUUAAGCUUUCCUACAGAUACAUAGGCAUUAACCCCAAGCAUGCAUCUGCAAUUAAUGUAUAUAGUUAGAUACAGAUAUUUGCAAUAUCUCUAUACAUUAAUUUUAUAUAUGAAUUUUUCCCUCCUAUCCAAUAUACAUAGAUCCAUCUGAACAAAACACAAACCAAAAUUAAAAAAAACCACACGAACAUAUUUCAUGGUACCAAUACUAUCAAGUACAAGCAAGUUACAAAGAGGACUCUAAAAAGAGUUUCAAUCAGGAAAAUGGAAUGUGGGAAAUUGUAAUGCAAAAAGACACAAAAUUAAUAAAAUUAUCAACAAUUAUUAGUAUGGGUAACAGAAAAAGAACAAAUCAAGGGAUGUAUGAUCAAAUGGGCAAAGGAUGUAGAACAUAAUUUAAAUUUGGAUCUUUGGGAAGAGAUUUGGAGAAAAAAAUAAAAUACACGGCAGCAAUUGAUAUUAGAGAAAUUGGUACAAGAUGCAAUUCCGCUGGUAUUACACUCCGGAAAGGCUAGCAAAAUUUAAUCUUAAAAAACCCUCCAAACUAUGCUGGAAAUGUGGGAAAAAAUCAGGAAUUUUCUUCCACCAAAUGUGGGACUGCCCAAAAAUUAAAGAAUUUUGGAAGUCAGCACACAAAAUG
rnacentral:lncRNA from 11 species